rnacentral:rRNA from 1 species
UGGGCACUCUAAGGAGACUGACCGGUGACAAACCGGAGGAAGGUGGGGAUGACGUCAAGUCAUCAUGGCCCUUACGGCCUGGGCUACACACGUGCUACAAUGGUCGGUACAAAGGGUUGCCAAGCCGCGAGGUGGAGCUAAUCCCAUAAAACCGAUCGUAGUCCGGAUCGCAGUCUGCAACUCGACUGCGUGAAGUCGGAAUCGCUAGUAAUCGUGAAAUCAGAAUGUCACGGUGAAUACGUUCCCGGGCCUU